GCGUCCACCGCAUGGUGGGUGUUGGAAAGAUUUAUCGGUUUUGGAUGGACUCGCGGCCUAUCAGCUUGUUGGUGAGGUAAUGGCUCACCAAGGCGACGACGGGUAGCCGGCCUGAGAGGGUGACCGGCCACACUGGGACUGAGACACGGCCCAGACUCCUACGGGAGGCAGCAGUGGGGAAUAUUGCACAAUGGGCGCAAGCCUGAUGCAGCGACGCCGCGUGAGGGAUGACGGCCUUCGGGUUGUAAACCUCUUUCAGUAGGGAAGAAGCGAAAGUGACGGUACCUGCAGAAGAAGCACCGGCUAACUACGUGCCAGCAGCCGCGGUAAUACGUAGGGUGCGAGCGUUAUCCGGAAUUAUUGGGCGUAAAGAGCUCGUAGGCGGUUUGUCGCGUCUGUCGUGAAAGUCCGGGGCUUAACCCCGGAUCUGCGGUGGGUACGGGCAGACUAGAGUGCAGUAGGGGAGACUGGAAUUCCUGGUGUAGCGGUGGAAUGCGCAGAUAUCAGGAGGAACACCGAUGGCGAAGGCAGGUCUCUGGGCUGUAACUGACGCUGAGGAGCGAAAGCAUGGGGAGCGAACAGGAUUAGAUACCCUGGUAGUCCAUGCCG
rnacentral:rRNA from 1 species